CCGAAUUUCCGGGCACGACACCAGCAGUAGACAAGAGAUAUGGAGGGAAGAGAGAGAAAAUAACAAGAGAACGGCGAGGGAAGUGGCUGGCAAGUCUGGCAAGAGCUGACUUAUCCGAGGCUGGAAAAAGGCAUCUCCUCGUGUGCAGUGAUCAUUUUUUGAGUGGACGGCCAGCAGUCCUUGAGGAUACUAGUAAUCCAGACUGGGCCCCAACACAGAACCUUGGUCAUCGUAAAGUGUCCCAGGAAUUGGUCGCCAUCAGUUGUGCUCGGCAUCAAAGGAUCCAGGAGAGAAAGUUGAAGAAGGAUAAGGAGAUGUUUAUGGCAGCGCAGACACUCAUGGACAUAUAGGAAUACACUCAACCUUGCCAUGACGAAGUUCAUGUUGAACAACAGGAACAGUUGUCCCUACUAGCCAUCGGCCAGACAUUUCAGACAGAGAAGCAAACCAUUGUGUCUAGACCAGCUGCCUGCCAGACAGAAACAGUAACAGUUGCAACUGUCGGCUGCCAAAGAGACCUCACCCUAAUGGAGACGACCAUGUUUGAUCAGCAGGAUGAGGACUUGAACCAGUUACGAACAGAGGUGUAUGAACUCCGUUCUACAGUAGGUGACUACAAUAACCUCAACCUCAGUAAUGAUGAUGAAAAAGUCCUUUUUAUACAGGGCUGCCAAACUAUGCUGUACUGAUGUGCAUUUUUUAUUAUGUUUGCCUUAAUAUUACCCAUUCAAUUAAUUCAAAGCUAUCCCCGUUUCAAGAAUUUGUUAUGUUUCUGAUGCAUCUUCGUUUAAACACAUGCUUCCAGGACUUGGCCUACAGAUUUAAUGUAUCUUUUUCAACUGUGUCAAGGAUAUUUUAUAAAUGGGUAGAUACAGCAGAUACAAAAUUAAGACAUUCCAUUGUAUGGCCUACUGGCACAAUAGGCUGGGAAGAAAAUAAAUAAAAAAUAGAAAAAUAAAAAUCA